rnacentral:rRNA from 1 species
UACGUAGGCAGCGAGCGUUGUUCGGAGUUACUGGGCGUAAAGGGUGUGUAGGCGGUUGCUUAAGUUUGGUGUGAAAUCUCCCGGCUCAACUGGGAGGGUGCGCCGAAUACUGAGUGACUCGAGUGCGGGAGAGGAGAGUGGAAUUCCUGGUGUAGCGGUGGAAUGCGUAGAUAUCAGGAGGAACACCGGUGGUGUAGACGGCUCUCUGGACCGUAACUGACGCUGAGACACGAAAGCGUGGGUAGCAAACAGG